AGCGAACGCUGGCGGCAGGCCUAACACAUGCAAGUCCAACGAAGUCUUCGGACUUAGCGGCGGACGGGUGAGUAACACGUGGGAACGUGCCCUUAGGUCCGGAAUAGCUCCUGGAAACGGGUGGUAACGCCGAAUGUGCCCUUCGGGGGCAAGAUUUAUCGCCUUUAGAGCGGCCCGCGUCUACUUAGCUAGUUUGUGUGGUAAUGGCUCACCAAGGCGACGAUCAGUAGCUGGGCUGAGAGGAUGACCAGCCACAUUGAGGGUGAGACACGGGCCAAACUGCUACGGGAGGCAGCAGUUGGGAAUCUUGCGUAAAGGGCGAAAGCCUCACGCAGCCAUUCCGCGUGGAUGAUGAAGGUCUUAGGAUUGUAAAAUCCUUUCACCGGUGAAGAUAAUGACUGUAGCCGGAGAAGAAGCCCCGGCUAACUUCGUGCCAGCCGCCGCAGUAAGAC
rnacentral:rRNA from 1 species